rnacentral:rRNA from 1 species
UCAUAUGCUUGUCUAAAAGAUUAAGCCAUGCAAGUGCGAGUGAUUCGGUGCAUCCAUCAGUAAAAUGAGGGAAGGCGCUCAGGAUGACUGCGAAAGGCUCAUUAAAACAGUUAUUGGAUCUGGAUGGUCAGAAGAAGACAAGAAGGAUAAGGGUGUGAAAUUGUUAUCCGCACGAGGGAGGGGGAUCUCGAUCAAAGAGGAUUUUAAUCGAUUCUCGCAUGAAGAAGGGAUUUCUAGAAUUUCAUAGAGAUAUGAGAGGGAGCAUGUGAAUAUUUGACCUAUCAACUGGGGAUGGUAGUAUAGGGAACUACGAUGGUGGUGACGGGUGACGGAGGAUCAGGGUUUGAAACCGGAGAGGGGGCCUGAGAGAUGGCCACCACUUCUAAGGAAGGCAGCAGGCGCGAAAAUUACCCAAUGUUGGAACAGUGAGGUAGUGACAAGGAAUAACUGUGAAGCAGCUGUUUUAGUUGUUUGAUGGUAAUGGAAGGAGGAUAGAGAGGUUCUUGAGUAACGAUCAGAGGGAAAGUCUGGUGCCAGCAGCCGCGGUAAUUCCAGCUCUGAAAGCGUAUACUAGAGUUGUUGCGGUUAAAAAGCUCGUAGUUGGGAGAAGGAGGCAUUGAGAAAAAUAGAGUGUUUAAGGGUGAAGUGGGAGAGCACAGGACGUCCUAUGAUGAAGAACUGAAGAGAUUUGGUUUUUUGUUGAGGAGAGAAUAGAAACAAUAGAGGAUAUUAGUAUUUUAUAGUUAGAGGUGAAAUUCUAUGAUUUAUGAAAGACUAACAGGGGCGAAAGCAUUUAUCUCUUGUAUGUUUAUUGAUAAAGAACGAAAGUUAGGGAUCGAAGAUGAUUAGACACCGUCGUAGUCCUAGACUAUAAACAAUACUAACUAUGGAUUUGGGGGGCCGAUUCUCUCUUUCAAUGAGGGAAAAAGGGCGCGUGAGGACAUUGCGAGAAAUCAUUGAGUAUUUGAGUUCCGGGGGGAGUAUGGUUGCAAGACUGAAACUUAAAGGAAUUGACGGAGGGGCACCACAAGGCGUGGAGCUUGCGGCUUAAUUUGACUCAACACGGAGAAACUUACCAGACCAAGACAUCAUUGAGGAUUGACAGACGAGGAGGUUUUUCGAGAUAGGAUGGGAGGUGGUGCAUGGCCGUUCUUAGUUGGUGGAGUGAUUUGUCAGGUUAAUUCCGAUAACGAACGAGAUUUUAGUGGAAGAGACGAAGGAUUCAUUUUAACGGAUGGAUUCUUUGGUUAUUUCAGAUGGAUAGGAAAAUAAACUAUAGGAAGAUUAAAGUGAUAACAGGUCUGUGAUGCCCUUAGAUGGUUUGGGCUGCACGCGUGCUACAAUGAUAGAGACAGAGAUCCACCGAGAGAGAGAACAUCUUUCUUGGAUUGACGCAUCGAAGGAUGGGUUGAAAGGAUGGAGAAUCUAUCAUGUUAGGGGAUUAACGAUUGGAAUUAUUCGUUAUGAACACGGAAUGCCUAGUAAGUAUAAGUCAACAGGUUAUAUUGAUUAGGUCCCUGCCUCUUGUACGCACCGCCCGUCGCUGCUACCGAUUGAAUAGUAAAUGUGAAAUGGGAGGACUGGCCACUCCUUCAACAAAGGAGAGGAAAGGAAAACUAUUGAAUGUUUAUAUUUAGAGGAAGCAAAAGUCGUAACAAGGUUUCC